ACCGGUUCCACCGCCUGCAGCCGCCCCGCUCUCGCGAGAUUAUAACCAGUCUGUCAUCGUGACGCGCCGGUGGGGCCGACGCAAGUCGGACAAAAAAAACUAACCGGCAUGCACCGUACCGAGCCAGGCGGCGAUCGGUCUGCGCAGCGCCGGGUUAAGUCGAACAAGCCUACUGUUUAUUCUGCUCUAGCACUGUUCUGGAAACUGCUUUUCGUGAUGCCACUCCUGCUGCCUGAGAGAAUCAAUAAACCAUUUUUAACCAGAAUUACAGACCAGUGUCAGGAGGCAGGAGAUCAGCAGUCAAUUAUGGCAGGACAAAACAUUUUCUAAUAAAUAAAAAUACUUGAAAUAAAAUAUUGAAAAAUGUG